rnacentral:rRNA from 1 species
UACACACCGCCCGUCACACCAUGGGAGUCAGUUGCUCCAGAAACGGCUGCGCUAACCCGCAAGGGGGCAGGUCUUUAAGGAGUGGCUGGUAACUGGGGUG